rnacentral:rRNA from 1 species
AUUGAACGCUGGCGGCAGGCCUAACACAUGCAAGUCGAGCGAGCGGCGGACGGGUGAGUAAUGUAUGGGGACUGCCCGAUAGAGGGGGAUAACUACUGGAAACGGUAGCUAAUACCGCAUACUAUCGGAUAACCCAUAUGGGAUUAGCUAGUAGGUGAGGUAAUGGCUCACCUAGGCGACGAUCCCUAGCUGGUCUGAGAGGAUGAUCAGCCAGACAGGCACGCUGACACGGCCCAGACUCCAAGGGAGGUCGCAGUGUGUAAUAUUGGACAAUGGGCGCAAGCCUGAUGCAGCCAGGACGCGUGGAUGUAGAAGGCCCUAGCGUUGUAAAGUACUUUCAGGCGGGAGGCGUUACCGACAGAAGAAGCACCGGCUAACUCCUUGCCAGCCGCCGCGGUAAUUC